rnacentral:rRNA from 1 species
AACGAACGCUGGCGGCAUGCCUAACACAUGCAAGUCGAACGGGAUCCUGGUUUCGGCCAGGUGAGAGUGGCGGACGGGUGAGUAACGCGUGGGAACCUGCCCAGUGGGUGGGGAGUAACUAGCGGGAAACGUAGCAGCUAACUAACCGCCAUGAGGACCCGGAAACGGGGAAAAGGGAAAUUGUAGUCGCCACUUGGUAGGGGGCCCGGCCGUUCGUAGUUAGGUUAGGUU